rnacentral:rRNA from 1 species
CAGCCGCCACGGUAAAACGGAGGGGGCUAGCGUUGUUCGGAAUUACUGGGCGUAAAGCGCACGUAGGCGGCUUGGUAAGUUAGAGGUGAAAGCCCGGAGCUCAACUCCGGAAUUGCCUUUAAGACUGCCGAGCUAGUAGGUGAGAGAGGUAAGUGGAAUUCCGAGUGUAGAGGUGAAAUUCGUAGAUAUUCGGAAGAACACCAGUGGCGAAGGCGGCUCACUGGACCGUUGUUGAUGCUGAGGUGCGAAAGCGUGGGGAGCAAACAGGAUUAGAUACCCCCGUAGUCCCUGUCUCUUAUAC